GGUGCAGGUACAGCCUGGCAAAAGGGGUUUGUGAAGGAAAGAGCAGCAGGUUUGCAUGGGAAGUGGCUUUUUCCUUAAAUCCACUCCAAAUGAUCCACUCGUAUCUGAUUUAUUACAGGGAAGCAAUUUUUUUUUAAUUAGCUGGCAACGACUGAUGGCAAAGGGCAGUGGGAUGGAGCAACUGGAGCUGGAAUCCAAAAGGUUCCCCAUGAAAAGCAAAGUCAAAGCCAAACCAAGCCUGAUGAUGAAAUUCCAAGGUAGGGAAGAGGAAGGAUUUGGAUCUAUUUUAAGCUUGCAGCUGGCAUCCUCCCAAUUAUCUCCCCCUUUCCCCCCCCCAUUUUCCAUUUCACUGCCAAAGAAGUGAGGGGAAGAAAUGAAACAAAUGAAAACACCUCUGGAUUUGGGAAGGAUGGAUUGAACAGGAAUUCUUUGGAGCAAAUUAAACAGUGAAGUUCUUAGGCC